rnacentral:hammerhead_ribozyme from 1 species
AUCUAGCUGACGAGUCCCAUAUAGGACGAAACGCACGUCUUGAAU